AAUAAACCAGAUCACCGCCAUCAUCUGUGAUCGAGCGCCCGAUCGCCCUCUGGUUAAAAUCGCGACUUGGACGAAAUCGAAUGGAUUAGGGAUUCAGAGUUUUCUCCUCUAAAGAAACAUGGCACAAGUUGGAACUUCACCAAUUAUACAGGAGGAACCCUCCAGCGCUGAAAAUCUUCUGGCAGUAAAAUUCCUUAUGUCAGCACUGGAGUCUAUGUGCCAGGAAAUUGCAAAGUCAAAAGCUGAAGUGGCUUGUAUUGCUGUAUAUGAGAAAGAUAUAUUUGUCGUGGGGACCGAGCGAGGAAGAUCUUUCAUUGGAAGCCGAAAGGAUUUUCAAACUGAUUUUGUCAAAUACUGUGUGGCUGAGGAGCAAAAAGCAGCAGAAAAGCUCAGAAAUGAAGAUGUUCUUUGUGUGACACCAGUUGCAGUGGAUAAUCAGGCUGACAUGAGAACAAAAAGAAAAUCAGUUGAGGAGCUGUUCUCUUCACUCUAUGGUAAAGCUCUUGGAAAACCUACUCCAAAUCCUGUGCCAUAUGAUAAGAUCUUGAAGGACCCGGCUGCUGUCGCAAUACAAGGACUUCCUGAUGGCGUGUGUUUUAAGCACCCUUCAGGUUAUGACAGUAUGGCAUUAAAAAAGAUUUUGGAGCAAAAAUCACAGAUUGCAUUUGUAAUAAAGAGGCCAUUUCAGGAUACUGCCAUUCAUCAUGUGGAAAAGAAACAGCCAACUGGAAAAGAAAACUCUCAGAUGCCACCUGCCAGCUUUGUUCCAGUUCAGGUGAAAACAGAGCCAUCUGAUGACAGCCAACCUAGCACAUCUGUUGAACCAGUUGCAAUCAAAGCAGAGCCAGAAGAUCCAGAUUAUUAUCGAUACAGUGUUCAAGGGCCUAGUGCAACUACUUCAGAAGCCAGUGAUACAGAGGCAGCUCCCCAAUCAAAGUCUUAUCAAGAAAGUGGGCCCCAGAAAGAUGCUGAUGUAUCAAGUGAUGAGACUGAGGAGGAAUUUACAGCUGAUGAUUCGACUCAGCAGGAAUAUUCUGAAACUAGUGAAGACCCAGAAGUUGAAGUUACUAUUGAAGAUGAUGAAUAUUUUCCACCAAAUAAACGGCCAAGGAAUACUGUACAGCCAACAGAUGCUGGGACCAUGGUGAAACGGAAAAGUAGGGAGUUUAAUUUUGAAUCACCCCUAAACAUGAGUCAGAAACGCCCAGCAAGUGAUGGUAGUGAGUCUGCUGCUGCUAAGAAAACAAGGAAAACUAUCACCCUAGCAAUGAAAUUGGAGGUUUUAAAACGGCUUGAGGCUGGAGAACGAGCAGUCGAUAUUGGUAGAGAACUUGGACUACCCCCUACGACAGUCAGAACAAUCCGUGGCAAUGCUGACAAAAUCAAACAAAGUGCCCAAAGUGUUACACCUUUAAGUGCUGGCAGGGUAAGUCGAACAAGAAGCAGCAUCAUGGAGAACAUGGAAAGACUCCUGGCAGUAUGGAUUGAAGACCAAAACCAGCGCCAGGUGCCCCUUAGUUUGAUGGUCAUCCAAGCAAAAGCUAAAAGCCUUUAUGAUGAUCUACAGAAUGAGCAGGGUGAGAAUUCUCAGUCAGAAAGUUUCAAUGCUAGUCGUGGAUGGUUCGAACGUUUCAAGAAACGUUCCUAUCUGCAUAGUAUUAAAGUGACUGGUGAAGUGGUUGGUGCAAAUGCAGAAGCAGCCAGUGAAUUUUCCAUCUAUUUGAAGAAAAUCAUUGAAGAAGGUGGCUAUUCACCAAAACAAGUCUUCAAUGUUGAUGAAACCGGGCUUUAUUGGAAACGUAUGCCACAGAGCACGUACAUCUCCAGAGAGGAGAAAACGGCACCAGGAUUUAAAGCUGCCAAAGAUCGCCUGACUGUUCUGCUUGGCGGUAAUGCUUCAGGAGAUUUCAAGUUUAAACCCUUAGUGGUGUACCAGUCUGAGACACCGAGGGCUUUGAGGGGUCAUUCCAAAGAACAUCCUGUCAUUUGGCGUUCAAACAAGAAAGCCUGGAUGACAGGGGCACUCUUUCAAGAAUGGUUCUCCCUCUAUGCCAUUCCAGCCUGGAGGGAAUAUUGCGCCAGAGAAAACCUUGCAUUUAAAAUACUGCUCCUCUUGGAUAAUUGCCCAGGUCAUCCUAUCAAUCUUGAUGACUUGUCUGAAAAUGUGAAGGUGAUUUUCCUACCUCCCAAUACGGCUCCAUUGCUACAGCCUAUGCUUCAGGGAGCAGUAGCAACAUUCAAAGCCUACUACUUACGCCGUACUUUCUCCCAGCUCAUCUAUGAAAUAGAUGGUGAGAAUGCACCAUCUGUCAGGGAAUUUUGGCGUGGGUACAACAUCCUUGAAGGCAUCAACAAUAUUGCUGAUUCAUGGGAUGAAGUCACGUCAUCGUGUCUGAACAGUGUAUGGCAAAAGGUAUGGCCAGAGUGUGUCAGCGAUCAAGGAGGAUCUCAUGAUACUGUCCCUGAAAUUCAGCGUGAAAUCAUUGCUUUGGCAAGGGCUGUUGGUUUUGAUGAAGUGGAUGAAGCUGACGUGGUGGAAUUGCUCGAGUCACAUGGAGAGGAAUUGUCCAAUGAAGACUUGAUGCAGCUAGAGAGUCAACGAGCUGAAGAGGAAGACCACAUUGAAACACCACUCCCUCAAAUUUUGUCAACGAAACGAUUGUCUAGAGCUUUCCAAAUCAUGGAAGAGGCAAUGGACAUUUUCACAGAGGAUGACCCAAACAGAGAGCGCAGUGCCAAAGUGAACAGGGCGAUCAAUGAUGGCAUUAACUGCUACAAAGAGAUCUAUCGUCAGAAGAAAAAGAAAACCGUCCAGCACUCCUUGAAUAAAUUUUUCAAAGCUGCUGAAAAUCCUGGCUCUUCAUCUCAUUAACUCAAUCAAGACCUGGCUGUUCAACCUGUCAUCUUAAAUUUAAAACCAAGGUCACUCCAACUUCAGUCAUUGAGUUUCUGUGUGCAGAAAACCCUCAUGUCUGUGCACACAGCACAUGAGAAAAAACUUCCAUGACGAAUACCUAGAAAACAUUCCUCCAUCCAACUCGUGUAGUACAGCACCACCUACUUUUUGAUUUUGAGAUCAUCCUUCAUAAAUUUGAAGCUCCCCCUUGAAGAAGGCAGGCAUUGCCAGUGGUGAUGUACUUUAUUGUCUAUGUGCCAACUCAGUCUUUGGCUGACUGAGGAUAAGAGCAUUUGAGGACUAGGAUCUCAAAUCUGAGACUAAGGUUAUGAUUCGCUGAGUAGUAGUGAUAUUGGCAUCUCUGUUUAUGAUACUAGGACAACCUGCAGCAGUUCUGCCUUUUGAAAGAUGCACCAAAUCCAGUGGCAAGAAAGUUGGUUCAACAGCCAGGUCUUCUACAAAGCCAACAUGCCCAGCCUUGAGGCAUUAAUUACUCAAACCGCUUCCAGUGAUGCACUUUAGGGAUGCCUUGAAAGCAUCUUUGAUCAGUCAAUGUUGGAUCUGAACAAUGUGGGGAAGGUUCGUACAAGAAGGUACUGAGCGCCGAGAGACGACUUAGGGAACGUGUAGUGUCAAAAUUAAAAUUGCAGAGUGAGUGCACAAACUUCCCAACAGCUUGUUAACUGACCCUCCAAGCAACACCUCCACAUAUAGCAGCAUCUGCCACUUGUGUGUGCAUUGGACUUUUCAGCCAUCUCAGAAUCCAUCAAACCAAAGUCAUCCCUGAACCUGAGACUGCCUAAGAGGAGACUGAGCAAUGGAAUGCCAGAAUUACUGAGUUGAGAAAACAAGUUGAAGAUCUUUUUGAAAGCAAAUAUGCUCAAGCCACUCUCGCUACUGGACCAGUUGUGAUCCCAUAUCCACUCUUUC